UAAAGUGAAGUAUGUCACUUGUGGACAGGACAGGAGACUCCUCUUCUGAGAGACAAGGCUGACUCACUGUGUGUGCCCUCCGGCCGAGACACCUAAAAGUGCCCCAGCCUCUUUUCCCCCAACUGCACAAGGGCCACUCUGUUUAACAUCGCUAGCUUCUACUCUGGAGUGGCCAGAAAGUUGAUUGCUGUUUGGCAAGGUAUGUGAACGGUUGGAAUAAAAGCUACAACAGGCUGGAGGAGUUCAUCCACACUCAAGAAACCCUUUAAAGCAUCCAGGAACCAGCUACGUAGCUGCAGGUGCAGCCUCAGCUCAGAACCUGCACAGCUCCACUGUGGCUGCUGUGUGAUGUCGUCCACUCAGAGGACACAACCCAGAAAAAGACUGGUCUUCCGGUGGAGAAACCUGACGAACACCGUCGCAACCAGGUCAUAUCAAAAGAGACAGAUGAACAAGAUGGCUCAGCAGCUCCAGCUACAUACCUCUCAGCUACUUCUCCAGUACCAUGCCUGACUCUGUGCCACCAUGCUCCCCACCAUAAUGACAAAACAAUUGGCAACACAGUGGGCUGCAGUCAAAAGGAGAAAACAAAUGAAACCUAGCAUUCCUCAAUCUGCCUCCUGACCACGGAUCCAGUGUGAUCACUGACCCCACAUCCCUGCACAGGACUUCCCUGCCAGGAUGGACUGCCCCCAAACCACGAGCAAAGGUCUCAAAAUAGACCAUUCCUUCCUAAAACUACUUUGUUGAGUCUGUCAUAGCAAUGAAAAUUAACUAGUACAGAUCAACUCUGCAUCCAGGGAAAAUGGUCAUUAUACAGCAACACUUAGGAAACCAAUCUCUUUCCCAAAAUUUGUCAGAGAAAGGCAACCUUAAAGAUGGUGGGGAGCUCAGAGAUGACUCCAAGGUUAAAGCAUGUCCUGCUUUUACAGGGACUGGAGAGAUGGUUUAGUAGCUAAGGAAGAUUUGCCACUCUUCCUGAGGACCCAGGUUCUGUUCCCUGCACCCACAU